rnacentral:rRNA from 1 species
UACGUAGGCAGCAAGCGUUGUUCGGAGUUACUGGGCGUAAAGGGUGUGUAGGCGGUUCCUUAAGUUUGCUGUGAAAUCUCCCGGGCUUAACCGGGAGGGUGCGGUGAAUACUGAGGGACUAGAGUACGGGAGAGGAAAGUGGGAAUUCCUGGUGUAGCGGUGAAAUGCGUAGAUAUCAGGAGGAACACCGGUGGUGUAGACGGCUUUCUGGACCGUAACUGACGCUGAGACACGAAAGCCGUGGGUAGCAAACAGG